CUCCAGCCUGAAGCCCCUCUGGCCCAGGGAGUGACUGCAAAGUCAGCAGCACAUGGGCCAGGGCUGGCCAGCCUCUCAGCUCCACGCACCCAGACAGAAGCAUCCACAUCUGCACUCUUCAUAGCAGAGACCUCUCCCUGUUCAGGUUCUGCAUACAGAAGAGACGCCCAGAAAUAGAAGUUACAAACAUACUUUGAAAACAUUGGGAACUUGGUUCCAGACCACCACAAUAAAUUUCUAAGGAUCAGGAAUUUGGAGUAACCAACUGAAUGGUUCUGGUUCAAAGUCUCUCAAGAGGUUACUAUCAAGCUGCUGGCCCAGGGAUGGCUUGACUGGAGUAGCAUUCAUUUCCAAGCUCGUUCACACAGACAUUGGCAGACCUCAGUUUCUUGCUGACUGUUGGUUGGAGACUUCAGUUCUUCACCAUAUGGGCCUCUCCAUAGGAUUCCUGAGCGUCAUCAAAACAUGAUAGCUGCCUUCUCGCAAAACAAGUGACCUGAGAGAGUGCAUGAGGGUGACCAAAACUUAAGCUGCAAUCUCUUCAUGACCUAAUCGUGGCAGGGACAUACCAUCACUCCUGCCAUAUGCUACUGGCCACACAGACCAGCCCUGGUCUAACAGGCGGGGAUUAUACAAAGGUGUGAUUUCCCAUUGGUGGAGAUCCAAUUUGGCGGCCAACCUGGAGGCUCCCUUCCACAGUGAAAGUCUGCAAGAGCAGCAAUUUGUCCCCCUUCUUCCUGUCUGCCUGCCUACUGGUUGUACUGUUGAGUGUCCACAAGAGCUUUCCUUAAUGGGACCCUACUUAUCAUCACAGAAGCCAAGAUUUUCCAUCCAAAGUGCUAUAUUAACAACUUAAUAAAUGUUGUUCAAUUCUUUAAGUCUGUGAGACAGGUAAUACUGUCCAUACUUAAUAAAUGAAUAAGAAAAUUUAAGCAAUUUAUCCUAUCACACAUCUAGUAAGUCAUGAGACCAGGCAUUCCCAAGUUUAUCAUUCUUCAAAGCCUAGGAACUUUCUAUUGCUCUCUGCUUCCUGUGAAGCAGCUCCUGGUUCUACCAACUCUCCAGCUUGUUCUCCCACUAACCCCUCACUUCCCUCACACCAACUCCUCCCUCUACUUUCCAUCAUGCUAUAUGGAGUUUAAGGUCUUUGGGUUUCUAGUUAGUCCCACCGCUGAAAUCCUCUUGCCAAUGCCUAUACGACACUAGCCUUUUGAAAUUUCUUAAGCCUAGCCUUUAUGGCCUAGCACAAGGCAAACUCCAUAAAUAUUCCAUGCAUGCUUGAAAUGAGUGUGCUUUCAUAUUGGGUACAAUCUUUGAGUUGAGCUUGUUAAUUCUGCUACUCAAAAAUAAGUCUUUACUGAUUUUUUUGUGUGUCUGACCUAAUAAAUUACUGAAGUAUGUUAAAAUCUCCACUAUAACAGACACUAUCAAUUAUUUCUUGCAGAUCUAUAUACAUCUGUAUGUUAUUUGAUGCAUACUAGUUUUAUCUUCCAGGUAAAAUUAGUCUCUCAUCAAUAUAUAGGUACCAUAUUUACCCCAGGAGAGGAAAAAGAGGAAAAAAGAGGGAGAAGAGACAGAGAGGAAAAUAAAAAGGUGAAAGGAAGCCAACACAGAUAGGUUUAUAUGUAAGCAUCCUCCCCUCCUUGCAAAAGAAAGAUAAUUAGCCGUUCCAAUGGUCUGUAACCUGGACAGUGGUUACAAAUGCUUAAGAUGGAUUGCUUCUUUCCACCGACAUCAGUGAGAACACAGGCUUCUCUGCUGCCUCUCUCUAUGAGGCAGUCUGCUUCCCACUCAACUUUGCACUGGAGUACAGCCCAUUGGGCUUCCAGCUUUAUACAAAGGUUUCCUAUUAGAAAUUCCACCCAUGCAAGCCUGGGAUUUCGUUUUUUUUUGCCCCAUGCUCAGUGCAAAGCAGGAGUUGAAGGCUUCCAGGGUUUUUGGUUUUGCUUCAUUUGGGAUUCUGCUGGCUCUGUGUGUGUGUGGCACUCAGCAAUACAGUAACAAAAUUAUUAAAAAUAUAUUUUAUCAAGUAUUUAAAUCAAGUCUGUUGAAAGCAUUAAUCACACCCUCUCCAUAUUGCUUCUAAUCUAAUCCUUUUAUCUCCUGCAAUUCAGCUCAAAUACAGCUACUUUUAUUAAACUCUGUUCAAUUACCCUACCCCUGCCCCACAGCCAAUAGAAAUUAAUAACAUCUCCCUCGGCUUCCCACUGCACUGUUUCUGCCACAUGGAUAGCAAUUACCACACCAUACUUUACACCUUUUAGACACAUUUUUUUCUCCCAAAUAAAAAAGCCACUCCAUAACUAGGUCCUAUGUCAGUUUUCUUUGGGUUCCCAGCCCCACUCCCCCACUGCUCCAUUCCCUGCCUCCAAAGAGGGUAACAAAAUGCCUGUCUACAAACAGUGUUCCUAACUGUUAGCUUAACAUUUGUCUUUUAAGACAAAUGGCUAGAAAUUGUGACCCCAGCCUAUCCAAUCUUAAGCUAAACAGCUAGUGUGGCUCAUGAGAGCAAGUGGCCUAAAAGAGCCUUGCAUUGACUACUGUGUGGCAUACUCAAGAACACAGAGGUUUUCCAAAAGGACCUUGGAUGGGCCUCUGUCUUGAAGGACCUCUGAAAUGCUGACAUGUUUGUAAAUUCCCAUGCAACCACUUAAUAUUACCUGUAUUCAUUUAUGGAACUUUAUCAUCAUUAAACAGACUGUGAUGGAAUUAUUUCACAGAUAAAUUAGUUAGAUUUCACAUAAUACAGUAUUAAAAACUUUUGGAAAUAAUACUAUUAAGAUGAACAUGAAAAAGCAAUUCAAGUACUUUUAUCUUACAUGAGAUAUUUUGCUCAGUCUCGAGAUAUUAAUUAGGGGAGAAUAGCUUCAAGGUUAUCACCACCAAGUAGUGAGUGUGAGGGUGAAGCAUGAGUCAGCGUUUUGACAGUAGGUUAAAUGUGCCUCAAAAAAGAAAAGAGAUGACUAACCCUACACAGUGUGUACAGCUUCCUGCUAAUGCAGACAGCUAUCCAAAUGCAGCCCACAGCAGCCCACAGACACUGUUCACCAGUGAGCAUGUGUGAAUUCUAGGCCCACGCACUAGAAAACCACUACUUUAUAGCAUUUCUUAACUGAAAAUAUAUUUUCACAGAAACAACAAAGCAAA